rnacentral:lncRNA from 1 species
ACAUCUUUAUCUGAGAAGGAGGCUUCGUCGUCCGGCUCCUCAUAAAUGAUGUUAGGAUCGGCCGGCUCAUCCUCUCCAUCCGAAAAGAAAAGAGAGAGAGGCUCAAUGCAAUAUGAGUUGCGGAGAGAGAAAAAGACUAAAUAGGAUUUGAAGACACGUCACAUCAAUUGAAGCAGGCAGGAAGGGCGCGGAAGCUACCCUUUGACGAAUGCAAGCAAGGUCGCUUGCUUACUCUCCGUUGGCGGCAAGGAAGGAGGGGAGGGAAAGAAGAAAGACCACCUAUUUACUCAAGAGGCAUUCGGGAAGCAACUAGUUCUGGCCAAGCAUCAGGCCGACCACUACAUAAAGAAAGAGAUCCAUAUACCAGUCAUGAGCGAUAGUGAAGCCGUCAGAGGCAGAAGCUCUAGCUUUGCGGACGAAGCCGAGCCACUAAUGGAGUGGCGAAGGAGGCAUACUAGUAGUAGUAGUCUAUUAGUAACCGCUGAAAUACCAGAGAAAAAAUGGAAGUGCACUAUUGAAGCUAUCAGUGUGAUUGAUCCGACAAGUACUUUUAGUGGACGCUAUCAAAGAUGAACGGAAAGGUUCGAGCAAUAUUCUUUGCGCCUGAGGCGCAUCAAAAAGAAGGUUGAAGAUGACCUUGAUUUUUCUUUCAUUUCCGAAUUCGCUUGCGACAAGUCCUAGCAUUAGUAUGAGUUCGUUGACCGCGUAAGGGCAAUCCAUCUUGAUGACGAAUUCCACGAUAACAAGAAAGAGAAAUUAAUCGUUCGAUGUCUGCUCGUUCUCCCCUCUUCAAUUCCCAAUUCACAAUAUGAUCUUUUCCUAUCACUUGUUCAAUUUUUUCGAUCUGAUACUUAGUUAACUCUUUGAUCUUUAUGUUCCCACUGAUACCUAAUCGAUAACGAACCUGAAUGGCUUUUUUAGGUCCAAUUCCAUCAAUUUGAGUUGAGGCAAUUCUGACUUGUUUAUCGGCAACGGAUCUUGCUCCUGAAAUAUAUGACAUUCUUGAUCCUUCCUUUUACUAGUCUUUCUUCUCGGGCUGGAAUCAUAAAUGAGUUCUCUCCUCUUGAAUGAUCUUUUCUAUAGGUCGAACUACUGUGAGCGGUCUAAACUUCGACCCGGAUUGAUGAAGAUUAUGUUCUCGUACCCAAGCCCUGAAAAAAGAGAAAGAGUCUUGUGGAGGAGAAUUUCACACUGAUCUGACUAAAGAAGUGAGAAAGUGCUCCGCGAUGGGUCGCCUCGCGGUCUCAAAAUGGAAGUUUUUCGCCUUUAGGUCUUUUAGGGCCGCAAAAGAAAAGAAGAAACCCCGACGAAAGAUCGAAGUGGUCUCGUGCGCCAAAAGAAGGCUAUAAUGGAAGGCAUAAAAAAAAAUCUGACUUGGUCUGAGCUGCCUGCGGUUACAGAAUCGCCCGCGUCAAUAUUCUUUGAACCUUGACUCUCUCUCUAGAAAAAAAAAAAGCUUUCUCUGGUAAGCCAUUCAGACUCCCAGAAAGAGAAAGCCUAUGGCCCAGGUUUUGAUUAAAGAACCUUCGACUUGCUUGCAUGUCUUAAGCAUAUAGCUAGCCUUCCUUCUGAGCCAGGAUCUUUCUAUUUGAGUAUGAUUGGGCCUGCUAGACUGCCACGGAGCGGUUGCCGGGCGUACUACUUCACUGAAGAUUGAUUCUCUCUCCUGAACUAUGUAGUACGUUAUAUAUUCUUUAAGGCAAAGAAUGUGAUAAUGAAAGAAACUACAUAAAAAACCGAGAUUCGUCGACAUUUGCGUCUCAGCUUACUCCUGUCUCAGACCACGACUCUGUCCUUGAGCUUGUGGGUCCUAUAAAAGACAAUCUCCCGAUGCUCGACAGAGAGGUAUGUACCCUGGAUAGAUCGUCUCGGGUUGACUUUCAAACCAAGCAGGAAAAAGCCUCAUAGUUUACAAGGUUAGACACAGACAGCAAGCCAAGGCACCUCGCUCGAUCCCACGGAGCGGGAUCAGGUUAGUAUGGAUAGUCCUUCGCAAAUUCUUUGCGCGGGUAAGAUCAAGAUCCUUUUUUCAGAGAAAAAGAAAGGAGCAAAGAAUUAUCGAAGCGAAGGCUAGGUUAAUAUGGAUAGUCCUUCGCAAAUUCUUUGCGCGGGUCCAGAUGCGUCACAGUCCGAAGGCGCAAUUCAAUAUGCGUUGAGAGGCGCAAUUCAAUAUGCGUGAAGAGAGGCUCAAUGUAAUAUGAGUUGCGGAUUUGAGAGAAAGAUUAGACUGACUCCCUACUCAAUCCUUUCUAGCUUAGGCUGCCACUGACUCCGCGAGCGAUGAAAGAAUGAGUGGAUUCAUCCACAAGGUGCUUUAGGUGGAUCUGAUCCAUAGUUCGGAUUCGGAAAGGCUAUCUUGAACCGCUGAGGUUCCCGGCUUGUGCCCCUAGCUAGUAGGUAGGUUCAAGCACUUUUGGCAUCAGAUCUCUUUUCAUUGACUUUUGGGGGCUUUGAAAACGAGUGAAAGCGGGUGGGAUGGAGCUCUUUGUAUUUGAGAUAGUUUCAUCCUCGUCUGCUGUCUCUGCUCUCUGAAUUUCUGAUUCCGCGGCACCAGUCAACACAGUCCUAUUUUUAGGGGAAGAGUUGCAGAAGGAAAGGGGCAGCUAAUUUCAUUGAUUCUCUCUCUUAUUAGACAAGGCAAUUUCUUGAACUUCAGACAGCUAGAGAGAAAGCCGAUCCACUAUCGGGUGACGGAGCCAUUGGGCCAAUCGAUAGGGGAAAAGGAGCUCAGCACCAUGGGGCAAGUCCUAUCCUAUUCCCUUUGUUCCACUCCUCUCCGUCUCCAAAUUUGCACUCCUUUACAGUGGUGGAAUUCUGAAAGAAAUGCAACGAGGAAUUUCCUGUGAACGCAUUCCCUCUCGUUUUCCUUGUUCCCUAUUGGCGUAGAAGGAUGCCAUUAUUCAAUGACCUCAUUAGGUCAAAUGCGCACCCUUGUUCAUUGAGGCGGUUUUGGGUAUAGGUGAGAUCUCUCAACGGGGAUGUAUUUUCUAUCAAUAUCUUAGAAUAUAGAAAGUUGCGAUUUACCGGCAUUCUUCAAAACUCAAAGAAAGAGAAGGUGGCGAAGCCGAACUUAUGAAAAGUAUGAAAGAUCAGAUAAGAAAUAAAGCACUGACAUUAAGUAAGAUCAACCACUAUUUAUCGCACUGAAAGGGAUUGAAUAUCAGAUGACUGAAUUAUUACUUUCAUCUUUCUAAUAUCUUUUUCUUACUUGAGCUGUUUCGCGCCUCCGGCUUCUUAUUGCAUUAUCAGGAGUCUGAUCUUCGGUUUCCUUAGACUGACGGUUCUUUCGCAUUCCUCUUAUUUGCCCUAGGGGGCUUCUAGAAGGAUUCUUCCGACAGGCUUUGCCGUAGGUAGGCUUUGACUCUUCCUUAUCCUUAAUGGGCGUAGGCUUUUUGCCUUGGCCGACGGAUCGAGCUUUCCGAUCUGGAAUAAGCGACUUUUCCUGCAACUUCAACCUCGGAAAAGAAAGCGGACGGUGGUCGAUCCCAUGAUAAGAAGACAAGCUAGAAAAACUUCCACAAGAAAAGCGACUGAAGAAAGAAGAUUUUGCCCAUUAUCGAUAGUCGGACCUCUUUUAUCCAUUUCAUUGUUGCGGGACCUCUCUAUUCCAUUUCAUUUGUUGCGGUAGGCUUUCUUUCCAAACCUACUAAAUAAAGCCUAUCCUUUUCUUUCUUAAGUUUCCUUUAAGCCCUUUACAAGGUAAGGACUGAAAACUCAAAGAAAGAAGGUUCUUCUCCAAGGCAUGAGUCAAAGAAAAUGCUUUCUCUAUGUAUCUAAUGCAAGACCCGUCGAUAAGCUAAGGCUAGGAGACCAUGAGGACAAGUCCAUUCUCUUUUUCUUUCGCCUUCGCCCUCCCGUGCACCCGCCGGGGCCGAUCCCUAUACUAAGAUAGUCGGGCCAGAGGUCGCGCAGCAGCUUCCCGUGGAGCCUCCUGCGGAUCAUCAGCCCGGUUGGGCUCAACCUCAGAGAAAGGUUGAGUGAAGAGGAAUCCAUAUAAUAAGGCCUUUCGCCGGCUAAUCUCUUCCAAGGAGUAUCGGGGGGUGGAAGGGCAAAUUCACCUUUUUGAGGCUCGGGCCGAAGAGCUAAAGCAAAAGGCCGACGAGCUCCUUCAUCCUCCUUCCAUUCCAGUGGAUGAAGAGUCAGAUGUGGGGCUGGCAAUCAAUCUUCUCUUGGAGAAGAAGAGAGGCGACCGCCCCGUGGGAUUCCUCUCCAGGGCGAUUCAGGCGAUUGAGAAUGGCAAAAGCCGCUUCGCUCCUUCCCUCCAAAUCCUCGAUACGCUCUCUGGCAGCGCGAAUGCGCCCUUCUUUCCUGGCAGGAUCCAGUCUUCUAAGACUCCUCAAAAAGAGGUUUAGCACUCUACGGCCUCAUCUCAUUUUUCAGUUGCCCCAUUUCUCUUUCGGCAGCAAUUGCAGAAAGCCUCUUUGCAGCCUGCUAGUACUCAAUUUCUUUGAUUUUCAUUUGAUGAGUAGCCUCCAUCUUCUUGAUGUUGAGAUCCGUGAAUAGUACUUCUUCUUUCAUCAGACUGGGACUACUUCCCCUUCCUCUUUCAGUUAUCUUUCUACCAGAGUUGUAGAGGAAUCUCUCCAUGAAGUAGGAAUUGGAUGGCUGGCACAAUUCUGACUAGUUCGUAGCACUACUUUUCUGCAGUGAAAAUACUCUUCUGCCUAUUUAGUGAAAAAACUGGCAGGCUCUGGCUACCUUGCGGAGCAAAGAAAACCCAAAUCACACUGCCUCUAUGAAGAAAGAAAGUAGACCCCUCCUCUAUUACGAAAAUAUGAUUCAUAGUCCUUCGCUAUUUUAGUUCCAUUAAGAAAAAUCAGUCAGAAGGCGCAAAGAAUAUUGCCUUUAUUUAGGAUCAAUGAAAUUUGAUGAGAGGAGGGCUCAGGUUAAUAUGGAUAGUCCGGAGGACCUCCUUCAGCAUAAUGUCGUUGGGGAAGUUCUUUCCGUCCUCUCUCUUCUUUCAUUUUCAUAUAUAUAUGAAAUCAAGCAGGAACAUGAUAAGUGGAAUUAAGAGGUCCGACUAUCCACUAGCGCUCCAAACUGUCUAAUGAAAGAGUGAACUCGACAAAGUAACCUCGACAGGACUAGGCGACCCCUUAGCCCUUUCCCUGGAUCGGCUGAUAAGUCAUCUCAUCCAAAAAGACUGGGUUUCCAUCACCCUACGCUAGUCAAUAUUCUUUGAACCUCUUUGGAGUUGUCUUUCUUCUUUCUCUUAGCAUUCCUUGCCAAAAACAAAGGCUCUAGCUGACGUAGGAGGAGGAGUUUCCAACCUUGCCGUAGGUUUCUCUUAGCAUUCCUUUUAGUAGGUUGUAAUAGUCAAGUAAAUCAUCAAAACCUUCGCACCUCUCUUUCUAAAAGAUAAAAAAGGUCUGAGCCCCUUUCGUCUUUUCCUCUCUUCUUUCCCCAUUUACAGGGGAUUGACUAACCCCACGGAUAUCUUGUCUUAGCUCAGCCUCUUAUAGCGAGCAAGCAAAGCCUACUUCUACUUUCUUGGUGGGCCCGCUAUUUGAUCAGCGGAUCAUAAAUGAGCCCAGCUUCGCUAAACUCGCACGCACCGACUGGCGGUCUUCACGAAAGAUUGUUGGCAUGCCUCCCAUAAGCAUAAGAAGAAAGAAGGCUGAUAAGGAAACCUAUGAGACCGCCUUGUUCUGCCCAUAGCGGUGAAGCAGAAACUAAAGGCCCUAUACAGAUCAUGAUAAUCUAUAGUAGAAUCAUACUCUCAAUGUGCUAUGCCAUAGAAGUGUGGGAAACUACUUCCUUAUCUACCCUAGACUAGCUUAUGCUAUCGGAUAGGUCUUAUUAGGACGACUUUCCCAUUCUUUCCUGCCUUAAGGUGAAAUAAGGUCUCUCUUGGGUAUUCAAGGUCUAAUGUGCUCCCCGACUAGGCUCUGCUUUUGAGGGUGGGCUUGUAGUCUCUCUUACUCCUAUAGGUCAGAAAGAGAUAUAUUCAAUUUUUCGUAUAUGACUGACGAUUUACCAUCAACCUGCUUAUAUAUUAAUAUUAAGUGAGCAAAUUCUUCUCAUAUUACAUUGAUCCUCCCCCUAAGUAAAUUCUUCUUCUGUAAUAUAUUCUCCUCUGAUAUAGAAUAUCUAUCUUUCCUUUCAUAAAUAGGAAGGAAAGGAUUUCUCCUCAAAUCAAGUCAGUCUUCCGAAAGAAGGGAUCAAGAAGUGGUGGUUCAGUCACUUCGGUAGGGGAUUCGCGAUCCCAUCUCUAUGGUCUUGCUCUUGAUGGUACCUCAUCAUGGGGGUGCUGCCCAAGCGGAGCUAACUACAGGUCCGAAUAUACUGCGAUCACCCAGACCUUUCUAAUACUGAAAUCCUGUAUACGAAAUUUCUUCAGUUGUCGACGCCGCAAUAUGCGCCUUCUAAUGGAUAGUCCUACUUCGGUUAAUUACGGAUAGUCCUACUUCGGUUAAUUACGGAUGGUCCUACUUCCAUAUGGAUAGUCCUACGGAUAAGAAUCCUGCGGACUCCGGACUACUUCCCUCCAUAUGGAUGGUCCUACUUCGGUUAAUUACGGAUGGUCCUACGGAUAAAUCCUCCGGACUACUUCCAUAUGGAUAGUCCUCCGGAUAAAUCCUGCGGACUCCGGACUCCGGACUACGGAUAAAUCCUGCGGACUGCGGACUCCGGACUGCGGACUGCGGACGUAGGACUCCGGACCUAGACACAAAGAAAGAAAGUGAAUAUGGAAAAAAGAAAGAAUGUCAUCGUAAUUCAACUCCGUUAGGAGUUAUUCCACUAAAAAAAAGAGUCAUGAUAGGUAGUCCGUCCGAAGGACUAUUCAAUCCAUUAGUUUUCGCUUGCACUCCUUUCUUCUUUUCCGCAAUAUUCUUUGCUCCUAACGUCUGAAACUGCUUUAUAAAGGAAUUUGGAAAAGCUCGUUUUGGAAUAACUCCUACCUAUUCCUUGCUCCUCCUCCGGGAUCAGGACGGAUAUUAUUGGUAAGACUCCUUCUACGCGGUCUCGCAACUCAUAUUGCAUUGAGCCUCACUACUAAUGGAUAAAGAAGUCCUUCGGACUCCGGACGGGGGGGAUUUCCGCUUGAUUUUACCGUAGCCAUGAAAGCAAAGGUGGGGUUUGACUCUCUCUCAAGCCCUAUUUCUGGAUGGAAGUUGGAACCUCCCCACUUUCUUAGUUCAAAUGCACAAUUUCCCUAUCUCUUCUUAUGGCUCUUUUGGGCCUAGGCGAGAUAGAGUUGUAGAUAGGUUUGAAUUGCUCUAUUGCGAGAAAGAGAAAAGGAGUGAGAGGGGUGUCGCAAGCUCCCUGAUUGAGUAGGCAGAAAGGGGUCAGAGCUAGCUGCUGGGCCAGAUUGACCUUCAGUAGCUGCUAACAAAGGACCGGAUUGACCGCCUCAAUGAAGAAGGCGCAAAGAAUAUUGCGGUGAGUAGGGUAUUCAAUAUGCGAGACCGGAGAAAGAGGUUAUGAAAUAUACUACCCGAAAGCUAUAACUUGAAGAGAGAAAGAGUUGACUCGUCCGAAGGCUCAAAGAAUUUGACCUAUGAUCAAGCGAAGAACUGAUAACCUGCCGAAACUAAGAAGUUGAGCGGCUUUCCAGUCGAGCUAAAUCUCUUCUUUCUUCUCGUUCAAAAGAAACCUACUAAAAAAGAAAUACGAAAGCCUACCUGCCAAAUUCUGAAAAAUAGUCCAUUUCUCACAUUCAUUCACAUUCAGUCAAAAGAAGAGACUUGGUCCGGCAAGAGGGAUCUCCGGCUUAGGCUCGAGGCUCCUCUUCUUCUUCCUGUGGAUUAGUGGAAGGAUGUCUCAUCCGCUUGAGAGGGUAUGCAUUCCUUACGCGCGAAUUGGAUGAUUUCUCUUUAUCGAUUGAUUCUGAUUCUUUCUACCCAGCCGGCGGGAGUCAUCAUUUUUGCGUACUCCGGAAGACCUAGGUUUUUAAUGAUUUACUUGAGUCAAAGACGUGCAGAUGAGGCAUCCGAGACAGAAAGAAGAAGAAGGACUGAAACCGCCACUGGGUCGAGCAUUCGGUCUGAAAGAUCUUCUUUAUCUCGAUCACAGUCAACUUUUGAAUAGUUGAGUAAAUCAUCAAAAUGGGGUUCGAUCCUUUUGACUUCGUCAUAGAGCUCUGCCCUUUUGAUCUUUUAGAAAGAGUAUUCCAAGUAAGACCAAAAUGCAAUGAAUUUAAGCGGAGGCCUUGUUCAAAGAAUAUUGAAAGGGAUAUUGUGCGAGACUGAAAGGAGAGGUGCAAAGAAUAUUGCGAGGUCAUCUGAAACCCUUUUUUUUGAUGCGCCUCAGGCGCAAAGAAUAUUGCGAGAUUCAUACUAUUAAAUAAAUAGGUUGAGGCGCUUCGGUUAAUUACAGAUAGUCCUACUUCUGUUAAUUACGGAUAGUCCUCCGGAUAAAUCCUGCGGACGUAGGACCCUGGACCUUUCUUUCUUUAAUGGAUAGUCCUACGGACUCCGGCGCAAUGAAAUAUGCGAGGUCCAUAUUAACCGAAGAUUUAGCCUUCCUUCGGAACCUGCUCAAGAAAUAAGGGAAGGAAGCAAGGAGUCAAGUUAAGAAUCUCUUCUCUUUCAUAUUCACUCGAACUCCUAAGGCACCUUUCCUAAGCCAACUACCCUUUUUCUACUUUUUCCGACACUGAAUUCUUCUUAGCCUGAACCUAGGCCUUUCCUUUUGGGGAAUCGAGCAAUCUUCUGAUCUCUUCUCUUUGUUUCGGGAUCGGGUACAGGCCAUGAGCAGUCCCAAUCUGCCUUCCUCUCGUAGGACCAUAAGAAAAGCCCACUCCGCGGUAAGGCUUGAGGUCUAACCCACGGAUGAAAUAUUCUUUGAACCUAUCUCCCCGGCUGUAGAUUGAGGUUAUCACCUUAUUGAGUGGAUGGAGAUCGGCGGCUAAUAUGAGUUCAUUCUAUUUAGAAUAGGAUAGAAUAUGCUGAAAGAACCGCUACGUGGGCGACUUUCUCAACAGCAAAAUGCCACUUCCUCUGCCCGUAGGUUGUUGAGCCUUUCUUCUUGCACCUUGAAUAAAGAGCUUUUUUCGGGAGAAAUCCCAGUUGAGGGGAACAUAGGCUCCGAUCAGGCUCAAGAGAAGGAAGGGCACCUCCCCCUGGCUAACUUACCCUCUACAAUCAGGAAAGACUCCACUCCUUCCCUUCGUCUUCUCAGUCAAGCAGUUCCACUCCUAAUAGGUCAAGCUGCUUCCAACUUCUUCUUCAACGGGAAACUUCAAGGCAACUGAGACGGAUUCUACAGGGGUGGGGUUCCUCUUUAGUAGAAAAAAGCCCUUUCCGGGAUCCCGCCUCAAGAGAGAAUUCCAAGUCUUACCUAUUUUCCCCUAAAGACUCACAGGUUUGGACUCGUCCAAACAAUGGCCUGGCCGAGAAAGCAAUGUCCGCGACUGAUAUCUUCUUAUCUUAUCAACCUAUUCGCCGACAAAGCCACUGAAAAUUCUUCAUUCUUGACUGACUAUAGGCUAAGUAGCGAAUGCUGUAAUCAAGGGCCUGCUUUAAUGGUUGCUUCAUUGGUUCAGGGGAAUUGGCUUGAAUCUGAAGCCGGACAUAGCGAUUGGCGAACCACAACUCGUGCUUAAAGCUUUGAAUUUGAGUGGGAAAGAGGGGGUUCAUGCUGUGAUAGCCAAGCGGGGAGAGAUGGAAAGAGGACUAAUGCCUUGGCUUAAUUUAGCUUCUUGGUUUUCCGGUCAUUUUCUGAACAUAAAGAGAUUUUUCUUAUUGUAUAUUGUCUUUUUACCUUUGACCGAUCUCCAUUGCUUACAGGAAAGGGAGGAAGAGAGAGAGGAGCUGGUACCAAAUCAAUAGGUCAUUCAAUAUACGAGAGUUUAGUGUCAGAAAUCGGCUUGAUUAUUUCUCAAAAUACCGCUACUGUUGAAAAAGAAAGAAUGAAAGAGAAAUGCAUUAUAAAGAACGAAGAUCCCAACUAGCACUCAUGAACUCAUGAACUUCUAUAACUCACGAUAAAAGAUGAGAUCUAAGACUGUAAGUUGAAUGAAUAGGAUCGGUAGCUGACUGUAAGUUGAAUGAAUAGGAUCGGUAGCUAGACGGGUCCCCUGACAAGGAGGGAAGAACUCCCAGAUCGGUAUACGACUUCUCAGGAGAUAAAGGGGGAUCGAAGCUAGCCUCAAAGACCCAGAUCUUUCCGCGCCAGGAUCAGUAGAGGCUGGAAGGGAAGUUUCAGUUGCUCUUUCCCAACCAGAUAGAAAGGCAUAAGGCCUCAGCCCAAGCCGAUUGUAGCAGUUCUUUCAUCUCUUUCGGAAUGAAAAAGAAAUGAAUCUCGGAUGUGUAGUAUAAGAAGCUUGCGAGAGUAGGCUCCAUAAGACAGGGAUAUUGUAAGGUUCCCACUCUUUUUGUUUUCUUGAAUCUCGUUAAUGAACUCACUCUAUUCUAAAUAGAAGAAAGCAUCCCCAUAGAUAGGAUGAAAUCAUCAUAAUCCCCUAAGCCCACUGGGAGGAAGGCGAGUGUCCAGGGAACAAUCUUGCAUAAAGAGGCAUCCGUCUCGGCGGUCCAUAGAAGCAUGAGAAGGAAUUCAUAUCACCUUCUUUGUUGGUGCGCAGCCACUCGACUUAGACGUUAGCGAUUGGAUCCCCCACUCCUAGGUUGCUUUUUGCUUGAUUUAAAGACUCCAAAAUCAGAGCUAUCCCUAAUUAAUGUUCAGCUUAGAGCCUCCGUCCUCCUACGCAGCUUCUCAAAUUCUUUGACCCGACUCCCCAUUCGUUUUUCAACUCUUUUUCUGGAAUGAAUUCCAGUCUUCUUUCAGGGGCGGGAUAUGGAUGGAAGAGAGAGGGAAGAAAGAGUCCGGUUUCAGAGGCUUGAUCCACUUUCUAGGAUCAUGAAGAAAUCCCUAAAUGCUUCUUUAUACUCUCGCCCAGGUAGGGAGAACUCUUAGAUAUAAGACGUUUUAGAGAGUUUUGAUUCAAAUCCAUCUCCACCUAUGUUGUGCCCUUCCUCCCAAAGCAUUCCGGCAUCUCUUAUUCCAGGUCUCACCCUCUUCAGCAAAGGAGUGGAGAAAGACAUGGAAUUGGAAUUGAUAGGGAACCGUAGCCAAGUGGCUAAGGCAUAAGUCUGCAAAACUUCUAUUCGUCGGUUCGAAUCCGACCGGUUCCUACAGCUUAGCCCCAUUCCACCCUGACAUGGUGUCUGUCUCGAACGGGGGCCUCCGCUUGCUCCUUCGUACCUUUGGCUUAGGCCGCUUUCCCUUCCUGACAGUAUUUCUUUUCUGAUUAGCACUCUCCUUUUCAUGAGAAUUUGACUGCUAUCCUUGCUUCAGCCUUCGUCUUUCGGCUUUAGGACUCACGGGUAUCUCUCAAAAAAAAGGUAUUCCGUGAUCUUUCCGUCUUUAGUUUAGGUUCAUUAUGGCAGUUCUUAGUUUCGUCUCUUUAUCAGUGAAUUCGCUUUCUUAAUUGCAUAUAUUCAUAAAAGGGUAGUCCUUCCCCCAGGUGCGCCUAAAGUCUGAUGAUGAUCCCUUUCAAAGCCGGUGAAACCAUCAGGCUCGACUAAGAAAUCAAUGCCUCCGACUCCUUCUAGUAACCAUCCCCGAAAUCCAGGGAGGUCUUCUUUCAGACAUGGCGGGCUCCACUCAAAUUCUUUGAGCCUUCUCUGCUACCAAAUCAUAGAUCUUCCAGAGAAGACCAAAGCGAAUGAGCUCACUCGAUUCGCGUCUGAUCCUCCAUUCUUUCUCAUAGACUGAUGCUGAAAAUCAAAAAAAGAUAGGUUCCUUCAUUAUAAUGCAUUUCUUACCAAUGGACGUACCGAAGCCAUCAUCCAGUUCCUGAGCAAAGACCACUCAAGGAAGUCCUCUCUUGGAAAGCAAAUAAUGAGAGCUACUUGACUUCUUUCAGGAAGGAGAUAAUUCAACCGCUCAGAUAAGGAAGAGCGAAAGCUCACUCUACCAAGCCAGAAUGAUAAUGUCUCGUCAUUGCCGGGGGCUUGGUGUACAUAGCAAGAACCCGCUCAAAGUGAGGAGAUCUUGUAUGACUGAGUUUGGCAAGGACCCUAUAACCCCCACCACCAAGGCAUCCUUAAUCUUGCCUUUUCAUGGAUAUGGAUAUUUUUGACAUAAAAUAAGAAGACCAUAUGGAUGAUGGUAAGCAAGCAAAGAAGGAGCGGACAUGGUAUCAAAAUCCAUGCGUCCACCCGCGCUUAGCAAACUCAAAUCUUUCAGUCGAUUAAAGAACUGAACGAAGGUGCACAUUUUCACUCCUAAUUGAGAAAAGAAACUUCAGCAACUUGGGUAUCAGCGAUGACAACAUCAUCACCGAGCACAUUGAUUGGGACACCACAUCAACUAAAGUGGCUUUUGAACGAGACCUAUCGGCCCACGGAGCGGGGCAGUUGCUACGGCCAUCGAUAGUCGGACACCGCGGAGUGGGCCUCUUUCAUCCUCUUUCAUUCUGCUCUUUCAAAGAGAUAUAAGGGGUAUGAGCUACUCGAUCUCGAGAAAAUGGCUUUGGAUCUCUCUCUACAUCUGGAAUAUCUGUCAGAGGAUAUGGAACUCAAUAUCGAUCUGAAACGUCGAAGCUUACACUGACUCAAAGGGAGACUGCUUCUAGCCAACAUCGGCUAUGGAUCACGCCCAUCAUCAUAAGGGCAUCUCGGUAUGGGGUUGGAUGGAUCAUCGGCCCUGGUGAUGGCUCCCCAGUAAAGGGAAGAGGAAGGGAUGCUAUUGGUGCUAUCGGUACAGCUCUCCUUAUCAUCGGCAGAUAUGCUUUUCUAUUUGCGGGGGUCUUUCUUGCUCUUGGUAUCGGCUUCUUUCUGGAUAUGCUUCUGCUUUUACUGAUGCUUAUGGAUGGAUUACUUGCUGGAUCUCACCCGCUCAAAGAAGAUUGAAUUUCGAAAGCCAAAGCUACUUAUGAGCCCUCCCUUGUCAUUGAAGGCGGAGGCUGAAUUCAUUGAGUUGCGGCUAUUCUAAAAGAAACUUAUCCACAAAAAGGAAAGUGAAAGCCAAAGCAGAUCCACAGCAAGGGUUUCAACUGAAAUUUCUCAUUCAAUCGCCGACCGCUCCGUCUUAUCUGAUUUUCGCCGACAAAAGUCGCAUAUUGAAUUGCGCCUCCGGAAUUCUGAUUAUUAAGGAGAUUCAUUCAUGAAAGGCAUAUUUCAUUGCGUGAGAAGCCGCGCUGCGAGAGCUACUAAAGCGAGAGGUGAGAUGGAAUUGAGUAGACUAAGAAGGGGCGAAGCGAACAGGAGUGCAAGUUGGAAGGAGAGGUUCCAUAAGACAGGGAUAUUGUGGGCGAGACCAAGGAGGGAGAGAGAUGAGGUCUACGGAUUAUCCUACAUAAAUUAGUUCUUGGAAAGACUACGAGGCGCAUCAGCGGAAACUCAGACCUAAAUCACUAACUAAAUAAGGGGUCAUAUCACGAACGGGAAGCGAAGGCAUACACUGACCAUAGCCGGAGAGGAAAGGAGCUCAGCAGCUUGACCCGCCUUUCAGUUUCUUGGGUGUGAAAGGAUAGGUUAUCGGCCUAUUACCUAUAGGAGAAAUGCUGGCAUUGAUAGACUUAGAGGUGAAAUUCUCCGUUUCGGAAAGAGCUAACUCAUCUUCUUCUUUUUAAUAGGCAGAAAGGCGAGAUGGAAAAUUGGCUGAACAUGAUAGAAGCAAGGCGCAAAAACAAGGGUGCAGAUGACUAUCCAUUAGAGAAUUUGACUUUGGAGGAGUAUGAAAUCUGGGUUAAUAUGGAUAGUCCUUCGGACGGGAUAUUCUUGAGAGUCAUGAACUCUAUUAAAAAGGACUGCCGAUUGAAAAGACUAUUAUCAAUCUUCAAAUCUCCGCGGCUGAAUUCAUAUUCCUCGACUUCGUAGAAGGAGAUAGAAAUCAAUGAACGAGUACAAUGAACAAGGGCUCUUCUUCUUAAACUACUUUCAGUCGGAGAGAGAAGAAAUAAGACGUAGUAGGAGUUGAUGAUUGUACCGCGUAGUGGGUCACUUUAUUCAGUAGAAAGAGAAUAGUCAUUUUGAAGGUUUUGACAUAGUGAAAAAUCAGUCAAAAAAGAUCUUUUAUCGUUAGCUAUCGAAAUCUUCUUUGAGCCCGUAGUUAGGAGUAUUAAGACCGGAGGACCAUCAAAGAAAGGUCCAGGGUCCGGAGUCCGCAGGAUUCUUAUCCGGAGUCCGGAGGAUUUAUCCGUAGGACCAUCCGUAAUUAACCGAAGUAGUCCUACGUCCGGAGGAUUCUUAUCCGUAGGACUAUCCAUAUGGAAGUAGGACCAUCCGUAAUUAACCGAAGCAGUCCGCAGGGCCAAAGAAAGGUCCAGGUGAUUUAUCCGUAGGACCAUCCAUAUGGGCCAAAGAAAGGUCCAGGUGAUUUAUCCGUAGGACCAUCCGUAAUUAACAGAAGUAGUCCUACGUCCGGAGGAUUCUUAUCCGUAGGACUAUCCAUAUGGAAGUAGGACCAUCCGUAAUUAACCGAAGUAGGACCAUCCAUAUGGAAGGAAGUAGGACUAUCCAUCCAUAUUAACCUUUGGUCCAGGCGCAGGCGCAAAGAAAGAAGCUCAUUAACUCGAAUUCAAGAAUCAUUAUGAUUGAAUCACCCAUAACCUGGAGGGAAAUCCAGAAUAGACCUCUCAGUAUCCGGACCAUAAACUCAAACUAGAAGUCUUCAUUGAUUUUCCCUGUCCUAGGAGUUCUUCUUUCAUUGCGUUUUCCCGGCUUUUUUGCUUCUAAAUGUGACUUUUGUUAAUCUUGAUAUUUAACGAUAAUUGUCUAAUUUUGACGGAUUUUUCAUGAUUUCUUGCUACUUUAUAGGCCCAAAACCUAGCAUUUUCUUGUAUUUCCCUCCGCGAAGGACUAGUCUGAAAUCUAGCAGAUUAAUCUGAAAUCUAGCAGAUUCAUAAUUCUUCUUGAAUUCGAGUUAAUGAGCCCGUAGUUAGGAGUAUUAAGACCGGUCCUACGUCCAUUUAUCCUCCGGACUAUCCGUAAUUAACCGAAGGAGGACUUUCCGUAAUUAACCGAACUUUGCGCCUGCGGGAUAAAAAAGAGAAAAUUCUUUGCUCCUCAUCUGGACCCGUCCUCCGGACUUGUUUAUCCAUUAAAUAGCGGGAGGCUCCAUAAGACAGGGAUAUUGUAGGCGGUCGAUGAGUUCUAUAAAGAUAGGUUCAAAAAUCAAGCCUCAAAUUCGCAAUAUUCUUUGCACCGCUCCGUGGGUUCCAGAAAUUCAAUGGAUCUAAUGGACACUAAUCUGGAGCUUGAUUUCUCUUGGACUUUCUCACGCAAUAUGCUUUGCGCCGCUCCGUGGGCUUACCUUUCAGUCGAGCCCUCCUACGGUCUCAUUGAUAAGGACAUCUUUGCAAAUGAAGAGCGGGAAUUACCUUUUCUCUUCGGGUUAGCUAAGAGUUGCCGGAGGCUUGAAGUCGGAUACUUUACUUCAAGGUUAAAGAAAUCUUCAACAUCUGCAAAUUUAGCGUUAGCGUUCUGAGCUAGCCAAGAAGUUUCUCUAUAAUAUAGAGGAAAAAUUAUGCAAUCUAACGACACUAAGAACCUAGAGUCACCGCGGAGUGGGAAGGUUCAUUCUUUCUGUCCCAAUCGGGAAGAGAGAAAAGAAAGGUAAUUCUUCCCCCUAUUUAUUUAUGGAUGUCAUUGACUCUUAGGCGGAGGACUAUGAAACCUAUUACUUUGAGAAGCGAGGCUGAAAGCCUCUGAUGUACACAAAUUGAAUAAGAAAAGCACCAGGACGGAGAGUUACAUCAUCAUAUUGCUCUCCUUACCUUAAUUAGAAUGCUUCAAGACAUAAUGCGAGAACCCGAAUAAGAGAAGCCUGAGAUUCAAAAUCAAGCUCCACUGUCUCACUUUGAAUAAAGGUUGGACCACUCUCUGUGGCUAUGUUACAAAGCAAGGAGUUCGCCCGUGGUAACUGGGGAAAGUUCUCGCUAAAUGACAUAUUAAGGGAAGCCGAAGCUUCCAGAAACGCCGGUCAUGAGCACGGCGCUCAAGCAGGAGCGUAUGAAGCGGAUCUUCAAAAAGAUAGAUAGUUACGACAAUUUCCUACAUCUAAGGAAAGAUCCGGAGAUCGCGGAGCUCCUCUUAUCCAAAUACAGCACCGUGAGGAUGGGAAGACUCACAGCGCAUGAAGAUGCAGGAGAUAUCAGCUAUGGAGCUACGAGUAGCCUAUCUCUCAGGGAAAGGGCGGCCCCAAGAAUAGACCGCAGAGCUCUUGCAAGAAAAGUACCUAAUGCGUCAUUGGAUAGCCACAAACCUUGUCUUCCAGAGGCCUAUAAAGACAAAGCAGCUCUUUGUCUAUGGUCCGCCAAGUACACAGAAAACCCUACGGAGCAGCGCGGAGGCUAUAUUCAUGCGAUACUCACCCUACUGGGCAGGAGUGCAGGCUAGAUGGAAAGUAUGAGAGAACUUUUCUCAAAAAGGCUAAUGUACCCUAAGAUGGGAAACCGGAUUCCAGGAAGCUUCACCAAUGAGGACACGCCCUGGUCAAAACGCGUAAUGCCCUGAAACUUCUAUUCCAAAUAGAAGGAUCAAUGCGGAAUAUUGCGGGUUUGCGUGAGAGGAUCGUGGCAACCUUGUACGGUUGCAUGUGCGGCCGCCUAUGGGCAGAUCGUGGGAAAUCCACGACUGAAAUACUAUCAACGGAGAACAAGCUGUAGAAAUACCUGUAAACGACCCCUCCUCGGAGCUUCUAAUGGAUAAAGACUCAUCCAGAGCUUGAUUUUAGCUGGCGCUACAAUAUCCCUGUCUUAUUUUUCGUGGAAUAAGACUCAAGAGGAGCGGUCCUCUGGACCUUUUUUAUCCGUCCGAAGUCCUCGCAAUAUUCUUUGCGCCUGUCUGUCCUUCGCAUAUUUCAUUGCGCCUCAGUCCUAUUCAACCCAUGGAAUUGAAAGUCUAAUCUUUCUUUGGGUCCUCCGUUUUAGAGUCCUACGGAUAAAUCCUCCGGACCUGUCUUAUGGCACCUCUCUUAGUCGAGCUGCUUCGCACCUGGAAGUCUCGUCAAUAUUCUUUUCACCUUCGGUUCAAUUAUUUUGGAGGGCUCAAAGAAUUUGAGACGAGUGCAAGCAGUUUCAUUCUCAGUUUCAGUACUCUAAGCAAGGUAAUUCUCAGAGUCAUCUGUCUAUCCCGUUAAGGGGCAGGUGUUCAGCCGGAGACAAGAAAGGGCUCGACUUCCUUUGGGGAUUAUCCCUUGAAUCAGUGGGAGUUGGUCUUGCAGUAGCAGUUCUUGUUCCAGUUUCAUAGGUUGAAUGAUCUCUUUCGUAAGGCAAAAAGGCUGAUUUCUCUAUUUGGAAUAUCUGUCCCAUUAUUUCAAAGUAAAGGAAAGCCUUUAGAUGCGCUCAAGCGCCCAACUGGGCUCGAAAGCUGCGAAAAAAGUCUCGCUGUGAAAUCGGUGUGGUGAGGUAUUGGAAGUGUUCAGCGAAUCGAGAGAAAGACAAGAAAGUGAAAGGCAGAGCUUCCGCAAAACGAGGUAGGUAGCUUUCGCUAAUGAGAGAUGGCUUUGGGGAUUAGGUCUCCAAAUUCAUGGAAUUUCUUUUCUCUUUCUAUAUAUGAGAAGCAAAGAUGCACAGAGCAACCCGACCGAAGGCGCUGAAGGAGGGCAAGUGGUCCACUCUCUCAUCUACAACAGAAGAUCAACCCCUUGUCCAAACUGAAGAUAAAGUUCAUAUGGACCUGAUCUCAAAUCCCCUAAUGGAUAGUCCUUCGGACCUGUCUUAUGGCACCGCGGAGUGGUCCGGAGGCGCAAUUCAAUAUGCGACUUUGAACCGGAGGUUCAAUGCCCACGGAGCGGGAGAGGUCUCGUCUUUUCCGCUGACUCCCACUUUUUCUUUCUGUAUUUGCUUAGUCUUUGCUUUGUUCUUUUCCCCUUUCCACUUGUACUUCCACUUUCUUCCUUUUUGAUAUCGCUUUUCUUCUUUCAGUUGCCUUCCUUCCUUUCUCCCCUCUGAUUUUAUGGAUGCCCCUCCCUUUAGACUUGCAGUAAAGCUGAACAAGUUGACUCAGCUUGCGCUUGGCUUCACUGCCUUGACUAUCAGAGAGAGGAAUUGCUAAAUAGACAGAGAGUAGUACCAUAGGCUUUCUUCUUUUUAGCUAGUGAAAGAGGGCAAUAUUCUUUGCGCCUUCCAUCUGCCUGCUUUCUUUGACUGCAACCAUGCUUGCCAGAGUUCUUGCUUCCCUUUUUCGGCCCCAGCCACAUACCGGUUAGCGAGGAGAUUGGUCUAAGAUGGCUAGUUGCUUGUACUUUAAUCGAGAAAAAGUUGGAGAUAUGAGAGAAAUUCUUUUCUUUCUUUGGGAUAAAUUGCCAAUUCCAUGAAAGCAUUUGCCUUAAUGAAAAAAGGGGAUCCUAUUGACCUAGGAUAAUAAGCUCAUGAGCUUAGUCUUACUUCACCAGAAAGGAAAGAAGACUUCCAUCUCCAAGUUGAACUCAGACCUAGCUCCCUUCUUUAUAUCGCCUCUGCUGGUCAUUCUGCUUUGAAACUAUGGGAAAUGAAUUAGAUAAAUCAGCCUUUCUUUCUAUAAAGAGAUAUAUAGCUCAUUCCCGAUCUCACUACUUCGCAAAUUCUUUGCUCCUUCUCUUUGUUCAAGAAGGGCUACGUGGGCGACUGCUGAAACUGGGUCCCGCACCCCUAUUUAUUUAUGGAUGUCAUUGAGCGGAGGACCUCGAUCAUUCUUUGAGGACGGAAGCUUGAUAAAGUCAGAAGGCGCAAAGAAUAUUGCCCUUUUUGAAAGGCACCAAAAACAAAGGCGCAAAGAAUAUUGCGUUAGAAAUCAGUGGAAUUAAUCAGUCCUCCGCCUAAGAGCGCAAACCAAAGGCAAAGGACGCGUCGGACUCCCGGACCUCUUUAUAUCCACAGGAAAAGCUUGAUAAAGUCAGAAGGCGCAAAGACGCAAUAUUCUUUGUUUUUGGCUAGGCUUUCUUUCUUCUUGUCUUUUAUUGCUCCUAACCCCGAAAGAGGUGGGGUUCCUUCUAACCUCUCCUCUUCCCCACGUAGCGGUCGAGACUAUUCUACUCUUUCCGGAUAGAUUCUGUUCUUUGUCUUUCUCAAAUUCUUUGAGCAUCGACCGCCUACAAGAUCCAGUCAAUUAAUGUAGUGGGCUGACUUUGCGCCUCAGUCGCAGCUCCUUUCAGUUCUCCGCAAUAUUCCCCAUAUUAAGCUACGGAGGCCAGACAGGUCCGAAGGACUAUCCAUAUUAACCCGUCUGUCAUCUGGUCCCUUUGAUUUUCUUCUUUGCUCCUAACUACUAAUGGAAAGGACCCACGGAGCGGUGCAAAGAAUAUUGCGAAGGACAGACAGGUCCGAAGGACUAUCCAUAUUAACAUUAACCCGUCUGUCCUUCGGUCUUAAUACUCCUAACUACGGGGGAUAUUCUUGUAAUUAAUUGACUGGAUCUUGUUUGCGUGAGGUGCAAAGAAUAUUGCGAUGUAGGCUCGACAGGGAUAUUCUUGGAUUUCAGACUCGCGUAGGCGCAGUUGCGCAAAGAAUAUUGCGAAAACGUAGGUGCAAAGAUCUAUGGCCCAAUUAUAAGGGGUCCAGAUGACUAUCCAUUAGGGAAUGUGAGAAGCUCCUUAACAGGAGUGCGGAGUCUGAAAUCCCGGGUUAAUAUGGAUAGUCCUUCGGACGUCCGAAGGACUCUAAAAAGGAGCCUAACGGAGGCUCAAAGAAUAUUGAGGUUAGGAGCAUUGAAUUUAUAGAGAAUAGUCCGGAGGACCUCCUUCAGCAUAAUCUAUGAAUGAUCGGUUUCAUAUUGCGGAAAAGAAGAAAGGCUCUUUUCAUAUUGAGAAAUCCCGUCCUUCGGACAGACGGGUUAAUAUGGAUAGUCCUUCGGACCUGUCUGUCCUUCGGACUGGAGCCAGAAAAAAAAGGGCAAUAUUCUUUGCGCCUUCUGACUGCUAACCUCUGCGGUCAGUCCUUCGGACCAGGUGCGCGAAGCGAAGCGACUGGAAGGAUAGAAGCAGCUCGACUAAGAAGGAGAGGCGCCAUAAGACAGGUCCGGAGUCCGCAGUCCGCAGGAUUUAUCCGUAGUCCUACGUCCGGAGUCCGCAGGGCCAAAGAAAGGUCCAGGGUCCGGAGUCCGCAGGAUUCUUAUCCGGAGUCCGGAGGAUUUAUCCGUAGGACCAUCCGUAAUUAACCGAAGUAGGACUAUCCAUAUGGAAGUAGGACCAUCCGUAAUUAACAGAAGUAGGACUCUAAAACGGAGGACCCAAAGAAAGAUUAGAUUUUAGGCGAAGGACUGAUUAAUUCCACUAAUAUUUCGGAGGACUUGUUAAUGGAACUGAUUGUAGUAGGCGUCGGACAACUCAUUCAUUCUAUUUAGACCUCAAUGAAGAAUAUUGAUGAUCUCUCGCUAUCGGAUAUCAAGAGUAUUCCAAAGAUUACUAUCCUGUUCAAGUCUCGUUUUUGACUAAUGGGAUGCCUUUUUUCAUUUUCAUCAGCCAAGGUCAAGACCUGCUAGUCCUACCACGUUAAGGGAGAGCACCCAACUUGCUUGUUGACACGUGAGGGAAAAUAGGAGUCAGAGGUGGGAGGAUUUACCACGUUAGCCCUAUGGUAGUGAUGGUUGGUCUUUUAGAUAUUAUGUCCUUUGAGUGCCUUUUGCGCGCUUAGCCUCGGAAAGAAAGAGGUGCUUCUACAGCGCUUUGGUGCUAAAACCUAAAACUAGGCUCAAUUCGGAAACUGAAACGAAGAAAUUCCCACGCAAUAUUCUUUGCCUGAAAUUUGAAGGAGUCUUAAGACCUCGCAUAUUUCAUUGCGCCUUCGCAUAUUUCAUUGCGCCUCAGUCCUAUCCAUUAGGAAUUAAACUGCGCUAGUAGGAUAGAUACGGCAAGAUCUUUCACUUUCUUCCUUGACCUUCCGGCACUGGGCGGGCUUGUAGACUAUUUCAUUCCAAAUCGUCGCCCCUUUCCUUAUCUACCGUGUGCCUAUUUGCUUUCUUUCAUAGGCAAAUUUCUUUGUCGGUGGCAACAUCGGCAUGCGUUAUAUAAGACUUUAAGCGCACCUUCACUACAAGACUGCCAGAACCGUCACGGGCUUCUUCUGGAACGAGGCGCAAAGAAUAUAUAGAAUAAAGGAGAGGAGUGGAACUGCUCGACUGUAAGGAGAGGAGUGGAACUGCUCGACUGUAAGGAGAGGAGUCCUUUUUCCGUAGGUUGAUGCUUUGUAUCGCACGCUUCUUCUAUUUUUCUAUAUAGUGUGAACACCUUGCCCCCUAUUCAUUAGUUCCAAGAAAGGGGCCGUUCACGUCGCCGGUUUUUGAUCUAGUUGCAAUAAAAUAAGUUCGCUUUUUUUCGUCGAGAUUGGGUUGGUGUGAAGCCUCAGUACAAGAUCGAAAAGAAUGCAUAGCAUUCCAAGUGAGAUGCCCAAGAUAAAAGGAACGAGGGGAAGAAUCAAUGACGGAGGACGCUCAUUCUAAUGGACCUCGCAUAUUUCAUUGCGCCUUCGCAAUAUUCUUUGCACCGCUCCGUGGGUCCUAUCCAUUAGACUGCACCUCGCAAUAUUCUUUGCGCCUGGAAGUCUAGUCAAUAUUCUUUUCACCUCCGGACUAUCCAUAUUAACCCACUAAAAAAGCGAAGGACUGCUAACCUCUGCGGUCAGUCCUUCGGACCAGGUGAGUCAGAAACAUUAACUUUAGGCAGAUCCCCCCUUAUUCUUAAAUAGUGGGACUUCUCGCAAUAUUCUUUGCGCCUCUCAACAAUAUCCCUGUCUUAUGGCACCUUCUGCUUCAUGAUUUUGGAUAGCCAAUUAUAUAGAAUCUUUGACCCUUUGUUCAUUGCCUUGAUAGGCUUGGAGUUGAUUCCACUUUUGUCUCUUCUUUAGGCUUUCUCAAUAUUCUUUUCACCUUGCCUCGUCCGGAGGACUAUCCAUAUUAACCUGUCUAGCCUUCGGACUGGUCCGGAGGCGCAAAGAAUAUUGCCCAUUAGAACUUUUUUCAAUCAAAAAGCGUGAGGAUCAUUCUCAACUCUCGAUGUUAGAAGGUGCAAAAUCAAUGGGUGCCGGAGCUGCUACAAUUGCUUCAGCGGGAGCUGCUGUCGGUAUUGGAAACGUCUUCAGUUCUUUGAUCCAUUCCGUGGCGCGAAAUCCAUCAUUGGCUAAACAAUCAUUUGGUUAUGCCAUUUUGGGCUUUGCUCUAACCGAAGCUAUUGCAUUGUUUGCUCUAAUGAUGGCCUUUUUGAUCUCAUUCGUAUUCCGAUCUCAAAGGUUUCAGUCUCAUAAAGCAAGACCUCCGAAAUAUUAGUGGAAUCUUUGAAUAGUCCUUCGCCUCAUUCUAAUGGACCAACAACAGUUCUUCCCGCUGAUUUUCAUUGCGCCUGGACCUUUGUUUUUGGAAUAAUUGACCCCCUCCGUUAGGCGCAAAGAAUAUUGCGAGAGUCCUGAUCCUUUAUAAAGCAGUUUCAGACGUUAGGAGCAAAGAAUAUUGCGAGACCGGUCCGUCCUCCGGACUCAAGGAUUCCGCUAAAGUUUAGGGAAUUUAGGAGCUAUUCCAAAACGAGCUGUUAAAUUCCCCCACGGAGCGGUAUCUAAUGUUUCAGACGUUAGGCGCAAAGAAUAUUGCGAGACCGCGUAGAAGGAGUCUUAUUCCAAUAAUAUCCGUAAUGAUCCUUUCUUUAUAAAGCCGUUUUUUUCGGAGUAUUAGGAACCGGCUUAAAUAGGCGACUCAUGAUUCCACUAAAUAGUUAGGCUCCAUAAGACAGGUCCGAAGGCGUCACAGGUUAAUAUGGAUAGGACUGAGGUCUUAAGACUCCUAACUACUAAUGGAAAGGACUGAGGACGUCCGAAGGACUCUAAAGAGGACGGGGGUGAGGCGCAAAGAAUUUGCGAUGCGUUCCAAAAAAAAGCUGUGAAAUCCCCACGGUGCGGUGCAAAUCUUCUUAUAGAUUAUGCUGAAGGAGGAUCAAUGAAAUUUGAUGAGUCAUGAUCCCGAAAAAGACUGCCACUCCGCGGUUCAAUUCAAUAUUCAAGGCGGAGGUUCAAAGUCGCAUAUUGAAUUGCGCCUCCUUCUAAUGGAUAGUCCUACGGAUAAAUCCUCCGGACUACUUCGGUUAAUUACGGAUGGUCCUACUUCUGUUAAUUACGGAUGGUCCUACGGAUAAAUCCUCCGGACUACUUCCCUCCAUAUGGAUGGUCCUACGGAUAAAUCACCUGGACCUUUCUUUGGCCCUGCGGACUCCGGACUGUUAAGGCUCAAAGAAGAUUUCGAAAUCCAUAUAUAUAAAAAAGGCUAGGCGAAAGGCGCGAAGCGAAGCGCAUGAAAUUCAGAGGUGCAAAGAAGAAAGAAAGAAGAGAAUGGCGAUCAGAAGAUUGAGAAAUCCAUAUUUGUGGAUAAGAGAGGUCCUUCGGACUGGUAGAUUUCAGACGAUAGAGGUGCAAAGAAGAAAGAAGAGAGUUGCGUGAGAAAGUCAAAUAAUAGCUAUUAAUACUCCUACAAUAUCCCUGUCUUAUGGAGCCUUAGUCGUAUUCCAAAAAAUAGCCGUUUUCAAAGUCAAUGACAUCGGUUUUUAGUCAGCUAAAGAUAUUCUUUCUUCCCGCUCCGUGGGCUUAACGGUUCAAUGAACAAGGGGUGUAGUUCCUCCGCAAUAUUCUUUGCGCCUUCGCCUCGCAAUAUUCUUUGCUCCUAACUACGGGGGUACGAUCUAACUAAAAGGAUUCCACAUUCAAGAGGACCGGACACCUGAGUCGAGUAAUGGGAAGCGGGCUAGUCCCCGAAAAUGCUCGUUCCUGUUGGGGCUUACAAUGAACCUUGUGACUCUAACUCUUCUUCAAAAAAAGCCUCUCUAUAUUAGCGGAUCAGUCUUUACUUAUCUCAAGCAAUGUCCAUCCCAUGCCUUUCUUGGUUGGACCAACCCAACCGGCGAUUUCCGACAAGUCUUUCUUCAUUUUUCUUGAAAGAAGCGGAACUACAGGGAUGAAAUGAAAAGUGUUUCUGACUCUUACGCCCAACAGCCCACUUGAGCAAUUUGCCAUUCUCCCAUUGAUUCCUAUGCAUAUAGGAAACUAUUAUUUCUCAUUCACAAAUCCAUCUUUGUUUAUGCUGCUAACUCUCAGUUUGGUCCUACUUCUGCUUCAUUUUGUUACUAAAAACGGAGGAGGAAACUCAGUACCAAAUGCUUGGCAAUCCUUGGUAGAGCUUAUUUAUGAUUUCGUCCCGAACCUGGUAAACGAACAAAUAGGUGGUCUUUCCGGAAAUGUGAAACAAAAGUUUUUCCCUCGCAUCUUGGUCACUUUGACUUUUUCGUUAUUUCGUAAUCCCCAGGGUAUGAUACCUUAUAGCUUCACAGUUACAAGUCAUUUUCUCAUUACUUUGGGUCUCUCAUUUUCUCUUUUUAUUGGUAUUACUAUAGUGGGAUUUCAAAGAAAUGGGCUUCAUUUUUUCAGUUUUUUAUUACCCGCAGGAGUCCCACUGCCAUUAGCACCUUUUUUAGUACUCCUUGAGCUAAUCCCUCAUUGUUUUCGCGCAUUAAGCUCAGGAAUACGUUUAUUUGCUAAUAUGAUGGCCGGUCAUAGUUCAGUAAAGAUUUUAAGUGGGUCCGCUUGGACUAUGCUAUGUAUGAAUAAUAUUCUCUAUUUCAUAGGAGAUCCUGGUCCUUUAUUUAUAGUUCUUGCAUUAACCGGUUUGGAAUUAGGUGUAGCUAUAUCACAAGCUCAUGUUUCUACGAUCUCAAUCUGUAUUUACUUGAAUGAUGCUACAAAUCUCCAU